rnacentral:rRNA from 1 species
GUGGAUUAGAUACCCGGGUAGUCCACGCCCUAAACGAUGUCUACUAGUUGUCGGGUCUUAAUUGACUUGGUAACGCAGCUAACGCGUGAAGUAGACCGCCUGGGGAGUACGGUCGCAAGAUUAAAACUCAAAGGAAUUGACGGGGACCCGCACAAGCGGUGGAUGAUGUGGAUUAAUUCGAUGCAACGCGAAAAACCUUACCUACCCUUGACAUGGAUGGAAUCCUGAAGAGAUUUGGGAGUGCUCGAAAGAGAACCAUCACACAGGUGCUGCACGGUCGUCGCCAACU